rnacentral:misc_RNA from 1 species
AGCAGCCGCGGUAAUUCCAGCUCCAAUAGCGUAUAUUAAAGUUGUUGCAGUUAAAAGCUCGUAGUUGAAUUUCGGGAUUGGCGCAUCGGUCGUGCCUCACGGGGUAUGAACUGGUGCAGUCAAUUUUCUCACCUUCUGGAGAACCGCGAUGUCCUUAAUUGGAUGCCGCGGGGAACCAGGACCUUUACUUUGAAAAAUUAGAGUGUUUAAAGCAGGCAUUUUUGCUUGAAUACAUUAGCAUGGAAUAAUAAAAUAGGACGGCAUGGUUCUAUUUUGUUGGUUUCUAGGACCACCGUAAUGAUUAAUAGGGAUAGUUGGGGGCAUUAGUAUUCAAUUGUCAGAGGUGAAAUUCUUGGAUUUAUUGAAGACUAACUACUGCGAAAGCAUUUGCCAAGGAUGUUUUCAUUAAUCAAGAACGAAAGUUAGGGGAUCGAAGACGAUCAGAUACCGUCGUAGUCUUAACCAUAAACUA